ACAUAAGAGGAAAAGCAAACUGGGAGAAGAAAGGACAACAUUGUUUUCGAUCUUGAAGGCCUGCGUAGACAUAGGACCAGGAAGGGGAGCUAGGAGUGGGAGAAGUGCCUGUGACUGAUAUAUGCACUAUCAGAUAGAAAUCCAGUUCAAAAGGAAAUCUGAAAUAGUGAAAUAGCAGAAAUCAUGACUUACAUACUGUGUAAUCUGCUCUAAAACACAAACAUUUGAAUUUAAAAUGUGUUAAAUGCAAAACAGUUCUAC